rnacentral:lncRNA from 1 species
UGAUAGUCGGCUUCUCCUCGUAUAUGAGAGCAUCAAUCAACCUUUGUUGGAUGAGCACAUCCUUCACCCUCGCUUGUCAUAGGAAAAAAUUGCUCUUUCUAUCAAACUGAUUCAUCUCUAUCUUGAUUGAGAUUGCCUUCUCCAUUUUCUCUAACCUCGAUCAGCACCGCCACAAUCCAGAUAAUCCCAUGCUCUGAUACCACUUGUUCGAGAAUCCCUCACGAGUGCGGAAUAC